rnacentral:tRNA from 1 species
CUUCCGAUAGCUCAAUGGUGGAGCGCCGGUGUACUUUGCCGGAGACGUUGGUUCGAGUCUAAUUCGGAGGA